UGCAAGUCGAACGAGUUCUGAUUAUUGAAAGGUGCUUGCAUCUUGAUUUAAUUUUGAACGAGUGGCGGACGGGUGAGUAACACGUGGGUAACCUGCCCUUAAGUGGGGGAUAACAUUUGGAAACAGAUGCUAAUACCGCAUAAAUCCAAGAACCGCAUGGUUCUUGGCUGAAAGAUGGCGUAAGCUAUCGCUUUUGGAUGGACCCGCGGCGUAUUAGCUAGUUGGUGAGGUAACGGCUCACCAAGGCAAUGAUACGUAGCCGAACUGAGAGGUUGAUCGGCCACAUUGGGACUGAGACACGGCCCAAACUCCUACGGGAGGCAGCAGUAGGGAAUCUUCCACAAUGGACGCAAGUCUGAUGGAGCAACGCCGCGUGAGUGAAGAAGGCUUUCGGGUCGUAAAACUCUGUUGUUGGAGAAGAAUGGUCGGCAGAGUAACUGUUGUCGGCGUGACGGUAUCCAACCAGAAAGCCACGGCUAACUACGUGCCAGCAGCCGCGGUAAUACGUAGGUGGCAAGCGUUAUCCGGAUUUAUUGGGCGUAAAGCGAGCGCAGGCGGUUUUUUAAGUCUGAUGUGAAAGCCCUCGGCUUAACCGAGGAAGUGCAUCGGAAACUGGGAAACUUGAGUGCAGAAGAGGACAGUGGAACUCCAUGUGUAGCGGUGAAAUGCGUAGAUAUAUGGAAGAACACCAGUGGCGAAGGCGGCUGUCUGGUCUGUAACUGACGCUGAGGCUCGAAAGCAUGGGUAGCGAACAGGAUUAGAUACCCUGGUAGUCCAUGCCGUAAACGAUGAAUGCUAGGUGUUGGAGGGUUUCCGCCCUUCAGUGCCGCAGCUAACGCAUUAAGCAUUCCGCCUGGGGAGUACGACCGCAAGGUUGAAACUCAAAGGAAUUGACGGGGGCCCGCACAAGCGGUGGAGCAUGUGGUUUAAUUCGAAGCAACGCGAAGAACCUUACCAGGUCUUGACAUCUUUUGAUCACCUGAGAGAUCAGGUUUCCCCUUCGGGGGCAAAAUGACAGGUGGUGCAUGGUUGUCGUCAGCUCGUGUCGUGAGAUGUUGGGUUAAGUCCCGCAACGAGCGCAACCCUUAUGACUAGUUGCCAGCAUUUAGUUGGGCACUCUAGUAAGACUGCCGGUGACAAACCGGAGGAAGGUGGGGAUGACGUCAAAUCAUCAUGCCCCUUAUGACCUGGGCUACACACGUGCUACAAUGGAUGGUACAACGAGUUGCGAGACCGCGAGGUCAAGCUAAUCUCUUAAAGCCAUUCUCAGUUCGGACUGUAGGCUGCAACUCGCCUACACGAAGUCGGAAUCGCUAGUAAUCGCGGAUCAGCACGCCGCGGUGAAUACGUUCCCGGGCCUUGUACACACCGCCCGUCACACCAUGAGAGUUUGUAACACCCGAAGCCGGUGGCGUAACCCUU
rnacentral:rRNA from 2 species